GGACGACACCCACGACCACAAGCUCUACGCUAGGGCCAUGCCGGUCUCCAGAAACGGGGCGCAGAUCUUCU
rnacentral:scRNA from 1 species